rnacentral:rRNA from 1 species
GACGAACGCUGGCGGCGUGCUUAACACAUGCAAGUCGAACGGAAAGGCCCUGCUUUUGUGGGGUGCUCGAGUGGCGAACGGGUGAGUAACACGUGAGUAACCUGCCCUUGACUUUGGGAUAACUUCAGGAAACUGGGGCUAAUACCGGAUAGGAGCUCCUGCUGCAUGGUGGGGGUUGGAAAGUUUCGGCGGUUGGGGAUGGACUCGCGGCUUAUCAGCUUGUUGGUGGGGUAGUGGCUUACCAAGGCUUUGACGGGUAGCCGGCCUGAGAGGGUGACCGGCCACAUUGGGACGGAGAUACGGCCCAGCCUCCUACGGGAGGGAGCAGUGGGGAAUAUUGCACAAUGGGCGGAAGCCUGAUGCAGCAACGCCGCGUGCGGGAGGACGGCCUUCGGGUGGGAAACCGCUUUCGCCUGUGACGAAGCGUGAGUGACGGUAAUGGGUAAAGAAGCACCGGCUAACUACGU